rnacentral:tRNA from 1 species
GGGGAUGUAGCUCAGUUGGUAGAGUGCUUGCCUUGCAUGCACAAGGCCCUGGGUUCAAUCCCCAGCACCACA